CCUACGGGCGGCUGCAGUGGGGAAUAUUGGACAAUGGGCGCAAGCCUGAUCCAGCAAUGCCGCGUGGGUGAAGACGGCCUGCGGGUUGUAAAGCCCUUUAGGUGGGGAAGAACGAUGCCGGGUGAAUAGCCGGGUGUUAUGACAUUACCCACGGAAUAAGCACCGGCUAACUCCGUGCCAGCAGCCGCGGUAAUACGGAGGGUGCGAGCGUUAAUCGGAAUGACUGGGCGUAAAGCGUGCGUAGGUGGUGGUGUUAGUCAGCCGUGAAAGCCCUGGGCUUAACCUGGGAAUGGCGGUUGAAACGGCGCGACUUGAGUGGGUUAGAGGACUGUGGAACUCCUGGUGUAGCGGUGAAAUGCGUAGAGAUCAGGAAGAACACCGAUGGCGAAGGCAGCGGUCUGGGACCACACUGACACUGAGGCACGAAAGCGUGGGGAGCAAACAGGAUUAGAUACCCCGGUAGUC
rnacentral:rRNA from 1 species